GACGAACGCUGGCGGCGUGCCUAAUACAUGCAAGUAGAACGCUGAAGGAGGAGCUUGCUUCUCUGGAUGAGUUGCGAACGGGUGAGUAACGCGUAGGUAACCUGCCUGGUAGCGGGGGAUAACUAUUGGAAACGAUAGCUAAUACCGCAUAAUAGUAGAUGUCGCAUGACAUUUGCUUAAAAGGUGCAAUUGCAUCACUACCAGAUGGACCUGCGUUGUAUUAGCUAGUUGGUGAGGUAACGGCUCACCAAGGCAACGAUACAUAGCCGACCUGAGAGGGUGAUCGGCCACACUGGGACUGAGACACGGCCCAGACUCCUACGGGAGGCAGCAGUAGGGAAUCUUCGGCAAUGGACGGAAGUCUGACCGAGCAACGCCGCGGGAGUGAAGAAGGUUUUCGGAUCGUAAAGCUCUGUUGUAAGAGAAGAACGAGUGUGAGAGUGGAAAGUUCACACUGUGACGGUAUCUUACCAGAAAGGGACGGCUAACUACGUG
rnacentral:rRNA from 1 species